GGCAGAGGUUGCAGUGAGCUGAGAUCGCACCACUGCACUCCAGCCUGGCGACAGAGAGACUCUGUCUCAAACAACAACAACAACAACAACAACAACAACAACAACAAAAAACAUGGUGGAGUGGAGAAAGUUCCAGAACAGCCUGCAUAGCAGGAAUCUCCUCAGGGCUGGGCCGUGGGAGUGCUGGCCAACGUGCCAGGCAGGGAGGACCUGAAUUCCUGAAGGUGGUGGUGGCAGCUGUUAGGGUCCACAGGUUAAUGAUCUCCAACGUCACACAGAAGAGAAUGUGCUGAGGUGUGACCUCCCUCACCCUGCCUUGGCUGCGUGGGGCACUGUCUCUCCAGGACUCACCCUGCCCCCCAGUAGACUGAAGUCUGAAGAUCAACCCAGUCUUCCUUCAGGCCUCAAUGCCCUCUCACUUCCCCAGCCCGAGGGACU
rnacentral:lncRNA from 1 species